AAACAUAACCUUUAGCCAAACAAAUAUUAAAGGCAACGCCUGCCCAGUGAAUAGUUAAACGGCCGCGGUAUCCUAACCGUGCAAAGGUAGCAUAAUCAUUUGUCCAUUAAUUGUGGACUCGUAUGAAAGGCAAAAUGAGAGCCCGACUGUCUCUUAUAACUAAUCAAUUAAACUGAUCCCCCAGUACAAAAGCUGAGAUACCACCAUAAGACCAGAAGACCCUGUGAAGCUUUAACUAACCUAUUAAACCCAAUAAUAAUUAAUUUCGGUUGGGGCGACCUUGGAACAAAAAAGAACUUCCAAUAUAUGACUUCAUCAUACAAAAGGCAAACAAGCCACAUUAGACCCAGUAUAUCUGAUUAAUGAACCAAGUUACUCCAGGGAUAACAGCGCUAUCUUCUUCAAGAGCCCAUAUCAAAAAGAAGGUUUACGACCUCGAUGUUGGAUCAGGACAUCCUAGUAAUGCAACCGUUACUGAGGGUUCGUUUGUUCAACGAUUAACAGCCCUACGUGAU
rnacentral:rRNA from 1 species